UACGUAGGUGGCGAGCGUUGUCCGGAAUUACUGGGUGUAAAGCGCGUGUAGGCGGGAGGCCAAGUCUGUGGUGAAAUCGCUCGGCUUAACUGGGCGGGGUCCAUGGAAACUGGUCACCUGGAGGUCGGUAGAGGCAAGUGGAAUUCCCGGUGUAGUGGUGAAAUGCGUAGAGAUCGGGAGGAACACCAGUGGCGAAGGCGGCUUGCUGGGCCGGACCUGACGCUGAGACGCGAAGGCCAGGGGAGCAAACGGG
rnacentral:rRNA from 1 species